rnacentral:rRNA from 1 species
UACGUAGGGUGCGAGCGUUAAUCGGAAUUACUGGGCGUAAAGCGUGCGCAGGCGGUCUGUUAAGACAGAUGUGAAAUCCCCGGGCUUAACCUGGGAACUGCAUUUGUGACUGCAUGGCUGGAGUGCGGCAGAGGGGGAUGGAAUUCCGCGUGUAGCAGUGAAAUGCGUAGAUAUGCGGAGGAACACCGAUGGCGAAGGCAAUCCCCUGGGCCUGCACUGACGCUCAUGCACGAAAGCGUGGGGAGCAAACAGG